CUUCUACCUGUGUCUCUUCGGUGCUGGUAUUACAGUUUGACAGAGCCAGAAUUAUUUAGAAAGAGGAACUCUCAACUGAGAAAUUGCCUCCAUCUGACUGGCCUGCAGGUAAGUCUGUGGGACAUUUUCUUAAUAAAGACUCAGGUGGGAGGGCCCAGUCCACUACAAGUGGUCCCACCACUGGGCAGGUGGUCCUGGGCUGUUUAAAGAGCAGGCUGAACAAGCCUUGGAGAACAAACCAGGGAUGAUCGUUCCUCUGCUUCAGUUCCUGCCUUGAGUUCCUAUCCUGAUGCCCCUUAAUGAUAGAGUAGAAACUGUCAGCAUCUCUCUAAAAUGUUGUUGGUCAUGGUGUUUAUCACAGAAAUAGAAACCUACCUAGCUCACCAAACACAAGAAAUUAAGCUGAAGUAGAGCAUGAGUCAUGACCUGAAUAGACAAUGUAAGGAUGGAUGUCUAAGGCAUCCAGCUCCUCACACUAGGGACACUCUGGGGAGAUGGACAUUCCAGUACAAAGAAGGAUACAGUGCUUCCAGUGUGUAAAGGCCCUCCGCAGGACCAUCCUCCCGGCCAGCUUCACCACCAGGGCCUGGUGGGCAGACAAGCUCUGCCUCCACUCCCAGGCCCACUGCCAGUCACAGAAAUGUAUCUGGA
rnacentral:lncRNA from 1 species